rnacentral:rRNA from 1 species
GACGAACGCUGGCGGCGCGCUUAACACAUGCAAGUCGAGCGGAAAGGCCUGCUUUCCCUUGUGGAUUGCGGGUACUCGAGUGGCGAACGGGUGAGUAACACGUGAGUGAUCUGCCCCCAACUUGGGUAUAAGCCUGGGAAACUGGGUCUAAUUCCCGAUAGGACUGCAGGGUGGUGCCUGUGGUGGAAAACGAUUUUCUAGUGGUUGGGGAUGAGCUCGCGGCCUAUCAGCUUGUUGGUGGGGUAAUGGCCUACCAAGGCGGCGACGGGUAGCCGGCCUGAGAGGGUGGACGGCCACAUUGGGACUGAGAUACGGCCCAGACUCCUACGGGAGGCAGCAGUGGGGAAUAUUGCACAAUGGGCGGAAGCCUGAUGCAGCGACGCCGCGUGGGGGAUGACGGCCUUCGGGUUGUAAACUCCUUUCGACCGCGAGGAAGCCACCUGGUUGGAAGGGUGGUGACGGUAGUGGUAGAAGAAGCACCGGCUAACUACGU